CCUUGUACCCACCGCCCGUCACACCAUGAGAGUUUGUAACACCCGAAGCCGGUGGCGUAACCCUUUUAGGGAGCGAGCCGUCUAAGGUGGGACAAAUGAUUAGGGUGAAGUCGUAACAAGGUAGCCGUAGGAGAACCUGCGGCUGGAUCACCUCCUUUCUAAGGAAACAGACUGAAAGUCUGACGGAAACCUGCACACACGAAACUUUGUUUAGUUUUGAGGGGAUUACCCUCAAGCACCCUAGCGGGUGCGACUUUGUUCUUUGAAAACUGGAUAUCAUUGUUGUAAAUGUUUUAAAUUGCCGAGAACACAGCGUAUUUGUAUGAGUUUCUAAUAAUAGAAAUUCGCAUCGCAUAACCGCUGACGUAAGUCAGUACAGGUUAAGUUACAAAGGGCGCACGGUGGAUGCCUUGGCA
rnacentral:misc_RNA from 1 species